GUUGAAUUUCAUGAGGUUUGCAUAGGCCCAGUUCUCAAGUUUACCAAGGUCCCUGUGCAUGGCAGAUAAAUCAAGUGUUUCUAUAUAAACACACAAAAUUCUAAGACAAUAAAUGUAAAAACCAGAAUUUAAGCACCUUUUAAACCCCUCUCUAGCCCUCUGGAUCCCUUCAGCUCUGGUGCUCAAAGCACCAGAGAAGUUCCUACAAGCAAUUUAAACCACUUUCUACUUACCACACCAGGCUCACAAAAACACUCACCCAACAAUCAUCCCCGUUUUUCUUGGGGUUUGGGUUGUAUUCAAGAGGUUAACUUUAUUUCUAACCAUGGAUUCUUUGUUGCUCCCUGUCUGGUUCUACCGUCACACUCAUCCGGAUAAAUGGAUCACGUUAAUGAACAUCAACAGAAGGACUGCAGCCAUAAAUUCACCAGAAUUGCUGGCCUCUGAAGAAACCUUAAUUCUACUUUGACAGCAAAAUCGGAUUCCAAAGAUCUCUCUCCCUGCUGUGCUUUAUUUUGGGCCUUAUCGUUUGCUGGGCAGGUUGUCAUGACAACCUGAUAUUCACCGGAGGGUGGCUGUAAUUGAGAGAGCACAUUGUUAAUUUAGCUCCAGAUUCCUUUUAUUUUGUUGUAUUUUAAGAAAAGGGGGGCUGCCUAGAUUUUAAUAUUUUUAUCUAUGAUCAUACUAUGGUUUAAUUAUUAAUCCAAGUGCCAAUAGCAUCUCUCCAGUGACGGCUGAGCUGCGGAGCUCACCAGGGCAGAAAACGGCUCUGCCCACAUCCCUUUUUCCCAGAUCAUCUCCUCACGCAGCCUCUCCACAUCCCCUCCAGCCCUCAAGCCCCUAAACCAAGAAUCCCCAGACCCAGGAUUUCACAGGGAUGCUUCUGCCUUGUGGGAGCAAGUUGGGAGGCAGAAAAAAGCUACAUCUUUGGAUUAAAGAGGCCUUAGAAAUACAAAGUAUGAUUAUCCAGGGUUGUGGCAGCUCCCUUGCCUGGUCUUGGGUUAAUCCAGAACCUGGUGGGGAAGAGCCCAUCGAGGAGGCCUUCACCACACACCUGCUGAUGGCAGCAGCUCAGGUUCCAGCUUCUCCUGCUCCUGGGAGCCCACAUCCUCUGUGGUCACCUGCCUGCACCCUCUGUUAUCUCUCAUGCAUCUUCUAA
rnacentral:lncRNA from 1 species